rnacentral:rRNA from 1 species
CUGAAUAACUACACAGAUCACUUAGGUUUUAUACCGGCAACUUGUCCUUCAAGUGUCUGCCUUAUCAACUUUCCAUGGCAGUUUCAAAGCCUACCAAGCAUGCGACGGGGAACGGAGAAGUACCUAUCGACUCCGGAGAGGGAGCCUGAGAAACGGCUACCACUUCCAAAGAAGGCGGCUGGCACGCAAAUUACCCACUCUCGGAAAGAGGAGGGAGCGACGAAUAAUAACUAGACAACCCGCUCAAGCGAGUUGACAUCGAAAUGAGCACAAUCUAAAUCCUUUCACAAGGAUCUAGCGGAGGGCAAUUCUGGCGCCAACCGCCGAGGCAAUUCCAGCUCCGCCUGGGUAUAUCUAUGCUGUUGCUUCUAAAAAG